rnacentral:tRNA from 1 species
UCACUGCGCUCGCCUUGCACGCGGGAGACCCGGGUUCGAUUCCCGGCGAGGUCA